rnacentral:rRNA from 1 species
UGGGGAAUAUUGCACAAUGGGCGAAAGCCUGAUGCAGCGACGCCGCGUGAGGGAUUAAGGCCUUCGGGUUGUAAACCUCUUUCAGCUCUGACGAAGCUUUUGUGACGGUAGGAGCAGAAGAAGCACCGGCUAACUACGUGCCAGCAGCCGCGGUAAUACGUAGGGUGCGAGCGUUGUCCGGAAUUAUUGGGCGUAAAGAGCUUGUAGGCGGUUUGUCGCGUCUGCUGUGAAAUCCCGGGGCUUAACUCCGGGCUUGCAGUGGGUACGGGCAGGCUAGAGUAUGGUAGGGGAGACUGGAAUUCCUGGUGUAGCGGUGGAAUGCGCAGAUAUCAGGAGGAACACCGAUGGCGAAGGCAGGUCUCUGGGCCAUUACUGACGCUGAGAAGCGAAAGCGUGGGGAGCGAACA